rnacentral:rRNA from 1 species
CCUACGGGAGGCAGCAGUGAGGAAUAUUGGUCAAUGGGCGGGAGCCUGAACCAGCCAAGUCGCGUGAGGGAAGAAGGUCCUAUGGAUUGUAAACCUCGUUAGGCGGGGAGCAAGGCCGGGCACGCGUGCCCGGAGGGAGAGGACCCGCAGAAGAAGCAGCGGCUCCCUCCGUGCCAGCAGCCGCGGUAAGACGUAGGGGGCAAGCGUUAGCAGGAUCUCCGGGGUGGAAAGGGGGCGCAGACGGCAGCGCAAGCCAGGAGUGAAAGCCCGGGGCCCAACCCCGGGACUGCUCUUGGAACUGCGCGGCUGGAGUGCAGGAGGGGCCGGCGGCAUUCCUGGUGUAGCGGU